AAUUGGAAAGCGAUCUCACGGUUACUGGAGAUUUUUGAAAACUCCAGCAAAGUCACUGACUCACACACGUGUGUACAGCAGAGGAGGAACGACAGUAGUACUUCUUGGCUUUCAGCUGUCAGGUGGAGAAGAUCCUUUCAGAUAAAAUCACAGAAAAUUUUCAUAAGGCUUUGCAGUCCUAUGAUCCUAAGCAUACUGGAACUAUUAAAAGAAGUCAUCUAAGAAAAGUCCUACAGCUGUGUUGUUCCUCUUUGUCAGAUCAACAGUUUAUGAAGUUAUGCUAUAAAUACAAGAAUAACUCCUCUGAUGGAAUCUUUUACAAGAUGCUUUUGGAUAACUUAAAAGUUGCUAUUCUUUCUGGUGACUUAAAUGGUAUCAGCUCACAUAUAUCAAAGGAAAAACAACAAAGAGAAGAAAAAAGGCAAACAGAGCUUUCAAAAAGAAUCAAGCAGAUUGAAGAUCAAACUAACAAAUACGCCCAGGAUAGAACUGUUGAUGAAGUAGUUAAAAGGUUGAAGGACAGAGUGAUACAAGAGGCAGCCACUACUAAAGACAGCUUUUUUACCUACAACAAGUAUGAGAAAAUUAAUAAAGCUGGCUUGCAGAAGAUGAAAGUGCUAGUAGUUGAGGCUGUAGUCACCAACGUUACUAUUGUGACUGAUUCUCUCCAGCUUUGA
rnacentral:lncRNA from 1 species